UCAAAACAAAGACGCCGCUCUCGCCUCUUGAGUAAUCAACUUCAGUUUGUCUCCUUUCUAGCAAAACUCUCGCACCAAAGCGUCAUGAGCCUUCAGUUUGACUUGACAAAAUACAAUAAAAAACGACAAUCACUGUUAAAAGAAAAAAAAUAAAAUAAAAGCAAAUUGACUACCGGCCAAGAGCACCCAAUGUUCACGUCAUCUUGCUCACUAUGCGCAAAGGCAGCGGUAUUAUCUCUGCAGAUCGCGGAAAUUAGUUCAUUGAUAUAUUUUUGUUGGGCACAAAUGUAAGUGACCAGCGCACGAAAGCAUACAUUCGCAAUUUAAAAGAAUGGAGGACAAAGAGAUGGCUUUUUGUGCUGUGCUUGCAAAUUCAAGAGUGAGUAAAGUAAGCUUACCUUGCACGAGGAGUAAACGCCGAGUUUUUCCAGUUUCUUCGGACGUGGGGAGGAGCGGAGCUGCGCCUUCUUAACAGCAAUACGUGCAGAA